GCACUACUAUGGCCACAAAGCACCCCUGGAAUUGCCCAACGUUGGGGUAGAUUUGGGGAUAAAAAAAAUCAACGGAAAUGGUGAAUAUGUUUUAAUUAUUAUUAUUUUUAUGAGGGGGGGGGUGUUCGAGUUUGUUUCCCCUCCCAGGUUGUGGCAGCGCCAAGAGACAAAAGUGGAGGAGCAAUUAAUAAGUAACAAAAAAAAGGCAAUUUAAGAUAAUAAUGAUGAGAAAAAAAAAGAUGAGGAAAUAAAAACUAUGGACCCUCAGGAUUGAAAGAUUUGAGCCGAGAAAGGGGAAAAAUCUCAGCAUCCAGGAGCUUUUCUGCAGGGAGAUUUGAGGAUAAAAGCCACAGAUUUGGGUAACUGAGACUCUCAGAAGUGUUUUAGCCUUGAACCGUCGGAUUUUGAGGGCAAAAAAGGCAAAAAGCAAAGGGCGCUGGGUGUUGGCAGCAAAGGGAUCUUCGGCACAGAUCAGUGAGAGCACCAAAACUGCGGGAAUUUGCCCCAAAACCGAGGCAGCGUGGACUCCUGAGGCGAAAAGGCAGAGAGAAACACGGCAGCAAAACCAUCUCCCCCAUAAAAAAAAACAAAAAGCUACGUAUAGGAUAAGGGAGGAAAAAAAAAUAGGUAUUUGUGCUGUUUUUCACCCAAAUUGGAGAUGUGGGUGGAUUCGGGGCGAUGGCGUUAGGUUCACCCCGGGGUGGGUCGGCCCCAUUUCAGCCCUAAUUUUGCUUGUUUUCUACCCAUUUGAGAAUGAAAAACAAACGGUGGCAGGAAAUGCCCCCCCAAAAUGGCUGGAAAUGGCCCCAAAAUGGCCGAAAAUGGCCCCAAAAUGGCCAGAAAUAACCCCAAAAUGAGCGGCCUGCACAGCAGUGCGCAGCUCCAUGCCCUUCAGCGGGCAUUGAAGUGAAAGAAGUCACUUUUUGGUGUGCAUUGAGGGGAGGGGGGAGGUUUGUACCCAUUUCCCACUUAUUCUCCCCAAAAUGGCAGUGGUGUUGUGGGGUUUAUUUUUAGGGGGGGGGGGUCUGUUGUGUUUUGUUGUUUUCUUUUCUCUCCCCCCCCCUCGUUUUCUUGCUCUCCAUUGAGGCAGCUUCGCAGCGACAUAAAACAGCCCCAAAACAACCCAAAGAGAGGAGAAAUGCUUUAAAAAAAAAUGAUAUAAAAAAUUAGAAAAAACAAAACUAUUUAAAAAAAAAAACAAAAAACAAAAACAAAAAGAGCACAAAACCCCUUAAAAAAGAGGCAGAAAAUAUCCAAGGGAGCGGAGUAAGUACCUGCGGCGCGGUCACGCCGGCCCCAUACCCUGCUUUUUGGGUCCUUUUCCUUCGUUUUAUGUUGUUUUUUCGUCACACCGGUCCCAAAAAGCUGCUUUCUGAGCCCAUUCUGUGUUGGGGCAGCAGCGACGCUCUCACAACGCACCCAAAAUGUUGCUUUCUGCGCCUGUUUCGCCGCGAGCUUCACCCCCAAAACGCCCAUUUCUGAACCCGCUUCGCGCUGGCGCCGUGUGACUGACCCAAAAUCCCACUUUCUCAGCCCAUUUUACAUGUGUGGCUGACCCAAAAUCCCUCAGCCUGUUU
ensembl:lncRNA